rnacentral:rRNA from 1 species
AGUGAACGCUGGCGGUAGGCCUAACACAUGCAAGUCGAACGGCAGCACAGUAAGAGCUUGCUCUUACGGGUGGCGAGUGGCGGACGGGUGAGGAAUACAUCGGAAUCUACUUUUUCGUGGGGGAUAACGUAGGGAAACUUACGCUAAUACCGCAUACGACCUACGGGUGAAAGCAGGGGAUCUUCGGACCUUGCGCGAUUGAAGGAGCCGAUGUCGGAUUAGCUAGUUGGCGGGGUAAAGGCCCACCAAGGCGACGAUCCGUAGCUGGUCUGAGAGGAUGAUCAGCCACACUGGCACUGAGACACGGUCCAGACUCCUACGGGAGGCAGCAGUGGGGAAUAUUGGACAAUGGGAGCAAGCCUGAUCCAGCCAUACCGCGUGGGUGAAGAAGGCCUUCGGGUUGUAAAGCCCUUUUGUUGGGAAAGAAAAGCAGCAGGUUAAUACCCCGCUGUUCUGACGGUACCCAAAGAAUAAGCACCGGCUAACUUCGUG